rnacentral:ncRNA from 1 species
UACCUAGUUGAUCCUGCCAGUAGUGAUAUGCUUGUCUCAAAGAUUAAGCCAUGCAUGUCUAAGUAUGAACUAAUUCAUACUGUGAAACUGCGGAUGGCUCAUUAAAUCAUUUAUAGUUUCUUUGAUGGUACACUACUACUCAUAUAACCGUAGUAAUUCUAGAGCUAAUACGGGAACCAAGUCCCGACUCUUUGGAAGGGAUGCAUUUAUUAGAUAAAAGGUCGGUGUGGGAUUGCUCGCUUCUCCGGUGAAUCAGGAUAACUCGACGGAUCGCACAACCAUUGUGCUGGCGAUGUUUCAUUCAAAUUUCUUCCCUAUCAACUUUUGAUGGUAGGAUAGAGGCCUACCAUGGUAGUGAUGGGUGACAAAGAAUUAGGGUUCGAUUCCAGAGAGGGAGCCUGAGAAAUGACUGCCACAUCCAAGGAAGGCAGCAGGUGCACAAAUUACCCAAUCCUGACAUGGGGAGGUAGUGACAAUAAAUAACAAUACUGGGCUCAUCAAGUCUGGUAAUUGGAAUGAGUACAAUCUAAAUCCCUU